AGGGAGUAGUUUAAAGUAAGAAU
rnacentral:tRNA from 1 species